rnacentral:rRNA from 1 species
UACGGAGGGUGCAAGCGUUGUCCGGAUUUAUUGGGCGUAAAGAGCGUGUAGUCGGCCAGGUAGGUCUGCUGUGAAAACUCGAGGCUCAACCUCGAGACGUCGGCGGAAACCAUCUGGCUAGAGUCCGGAAGAGGAGAGUGGAAUUCCUGGUGUAGCGGUGAAAUGCGUAGAUAUCGGGAGGAACACCAGUGGCGAAGGCGACUUCCUGGCCUGUUCUUGACGCUGAGGCGCGAAAGCUGGGGGAGCAAACGGG